GUUUUAAUAGUUUAAAUAAAACAUUGGUCUUGUAAACCAAAAUUGAAAUAAUUUUCUUAAAACU
rnacentral:tRNA from 1 species